AACGCAUCUUGCACCCUUUGGUAUUCCAAAGGGUACGCCUGUUUCAGUAUCAUUAUAACCUUUCUCCCCAAGGCUUUUUGGCCAAGGAGGGAAAGAGCAUAACCGGUGGCCCAGCGGUCUCCCUUCAGGGGGAUUGUCUCGGCUGGAAUGACUGUUGCAAUGGUGGGCCAAAUGGUCUUCCGCACUUGAUAAAUGUACUUUUAUAAAGAGCGGGGCCGGUCUGCCGAAAGUUGUAACUAAACCCUUUACCUUUGAUCUGAAAUCAGGCGGGAUUACCCGCUGAACUUAA
rnacentral:misc_RNA from 1 species